UCCCUGGUAGCUCAGAGGUUAAAGCGUCUGCCUCCAAUGCGGGAGACCUGGGUUCGAUCCCUGGGUUGGGAA
rnacentral:tRNA from 1 species